CAAGCCAUGUCAUUUGAUCAUCACAACAACACUCCCAGGAAGUAUUACUGUCCCCACAUCACCUAUAAGAACAAUAAGACUCAGAGAAGUUAAGCUCCUUGUGCAAAUCCACAGAGAGAGAAAGUGACAGACAGGAUUUGAAUUCAGGUCUGUCCAUCCCCAGGGACCUGCAGCCUCAAACUGGACAAGCAGUACAUCCUAAGGAGUCUGUUACAGACGAUCAACUCUGGUGUCCCUCCAAGGUGCACACAUUCCCUGGUAACCAGAAAGACACUUAGGCUUAAACAAGACAACGUCUGACUGAGAUUGUCCCUGUUUCCUGCCAAAGUGGGCCACACGGAGCUGCAGCUGUACGAGAUGUCUGGAUUCUCCCAGUCAGCAAAGAGUUGGGAACAGGGUGGUCACAGAGGAGCCAAGCCAGGGCAGAAAGAUGUCUCCAUUCAGUGAAUACUUAUUGAAUCCUUGCUCUGCACCAGAUCUUGAAGGGAGGGAGGAAAAAGCCUUGAAGCUGACAAUGUAGUUCCUUCAUGUCAAUUAAAUGUUUAUUUAAAAGAGUGCAAAAAUAGAAAAAGGGUGGUUUCUUCCUUUGAGGGAAGCCACGGGCACGUGA
rnacentral:lncRNA from 10 species